GACGAACGCUGGCGGCGUGCUUAACACAUGCGAGUCGAACGGUGAAGCGCCUUCCUUUUUGGUGGGUGUGGAUGAGUGGCGAACGGGUGAGUAACACGUGAGUAACCUGCCCCCUUCUUCUGGAUAACCGCAUGAAAGUGAGGCUAAUACGGGAUAUUCUGGGUCUGUCGCAUGAUGGGUCUGGGAAAGAUAUUGUUUCGGUGGGGGAUGGGCUCGCGGCCCAUCAGCUUGUUGGUGGGGUGAUGGCCUACCAAGGCGGUGACGGGUAGCCGGCCUGAGAGGGUGGACGGUCACACUGGGACUGAGACACGGCCCAGACUCCUACGGGAGGCAGCAGUGGGGAAUAUUGCACAAUGGGCGCAAGCCUGAUGCAGCGACGCCGCGUGAGGGAUGGAGGCCUUCGGGUUGUGAACCUCUUUCGCCAGUGAAGCAGGCCUGCCUCGUUUGUGGGUGGGUUGACGGUAGCUGGAUAAGAAGCGCCGGCUAACUACGUG
rnacentral:rRNA from 1 species